rnacentral:misc_RNA from 1 species
CCGAGUUUCCAACUCACAACCCAAUGUGAACAUACCUACGUUGCUUCGGCGUGCAUCCGGCCCCGGCCGCGCCGCCGAAGACCCCAAACUCUUUGUUUUCCAAUGUGGUUACUUCUGAGUAUUCUUGAAAUAAAUCA